UUUUCGAUAUUUUUAUUUAUA
rnacentral:piRNA from 1 species